rnacentral:rRNA from 1 species
UCCGAAAGGUGAACGACCCGCAAGGGAGCUUGCACAGGUGUUUGCAUGGCUGUCGUCAGCUCGUGUCGUGAGAUGUUGGGUUAAGUCCCGCAACGAGCGCAACCCUUAUCAUUAGUUGCUACGCAAGGGCACUCUAAUGAGACUGCCGGUGACAAACCGGAGGAAGGUGGGGAUGACGUCAAGUCCUCAUGGCCCUUAUGCGUAGGGCUUCACACGUCAUACAAUGGUCGGUACAGAGGGUUGCCAACCCGCGAGGGGGAGCCAAUCCCACAAAGCCGAUCGUAGUCCGGAUUGCAGUCUGCAACUCGACUGCAUGAAGUCGGAAUCGCUAGUAAUCGCGGAUCAGCAUGUCGCGGUGAAUACGUUCCCGGGUCUU